CCUACCAAACUCAUGGCCAUGAAAUGGGUCUCCACCCGUGAAAUCUGGUCUUGUGUGCUUUUACCCUAUACUAUACAGAUUUCACGGAGGAAACCAACGUUUCUCAAAUUGGUGGUCCUUACCCAAAAGGGUGUUGCAGGGCGGGGGGUGCCAAGAUUAUUUUAGG